CCGAGUUUACAACUCCCAAACCCUGUGAACAUACCUAUACGUUGCCUCGGCGGAUCAGCCCGCGCCCCGUAAAAAGGGACGGCCCGCCCGAGGACCCCUAAACUCUGUUUUUAGUGGAACUUCUGAGUAAAACAAACAAAUAAAUCA
rnacentral:misc_RNA from 1 species